rnacentral:rRNA from 1 species
CCUACGGGGGGCAGCAGUGGGGAAUAUUGCGCAAUGGGCGAAAGCCUGACGCAGCGACGCCGCGUGAGGGAUGAAGGUCUUCGGAUCGUAAACCUCUGUCAGCAGGGAAGAACGGUCACUGUGCUAAUCAGCAGUGAAUUGACGGUACCUGCAAAGGAAGCACCGGCUAACUCCGUGCCAGCAGCCGCGGUAAUACGGAGGGUGCGAGCGUUAAUCGGAAUUAGUGGGCGUAAAGCGCUCGUAGGCGGUAUGUCAAGUCAAGGGUGAAAUCCCCGCGCUCAACGUGGGAACUGCCUUUGAAACUGGCAACCUGGAGUGUGUGAGAGGAUAGUGGAAUUCCAGGUGUAGGAGUGAAAUCCGUAGAUAUCUGGAGGAACAUCAGUGGCGAAGGCGACUAUCUGGCACAUAACUGACGCUGAGGAGCGAAAGCGUGGGGAUCGAACAGGAUUAGAUACCCUUGUAGUC